UCCUUGCACUUCCCUGAGUUGAUGGGCCAAGUGCAGCUUAUCAGCUUUGGCUUUGUACAGCUCCAUAUGGGUGUCUUGCUCCUUCUCUCUCAAACGACGAUUCUCCAUCAGGGCUUGCUUAUAGUGCUCAGCAGGUACACUAUCAGCAAGGAUCAAGGGUGGUUGCUCUUGCAACGGCUCCAUCCUAUCGUAGGGUAGCA
rnacentral:lncRNA from 1 species